rnacentral:rRNA from 1 species
AAGUCGUAACAAGGUCUCCGUUGGUGAACCAGCGGAGGGGAUCAUUACUGAGUACUACAUUCUCUACCCUUUGUGAACUAUUAUACCUGUUGCUUCGGCGGCGCCCGCAAGGGUGCCCGCCGGUCUCAUCAGAAUCUCUGUUUUCGAACCCGACGAUACUUCUGAGUGUUCUUAGCGAACUGUCAAAACUUUUAACAACGGAUCUCUUGGCUCCAGCAUCGAUGAAGAACGCAGCGAAACGCGAUAUGUAAUGUGAAUUGCAGAAUUCAGUGAAUCAUCGAAUCUUUGGAACGCACAUGGCGCCUUCCAGUAUCCUGGGAGGCAUGCCUGUCCGAGCGUCGUUUCAACCCUCGAGCCCCUGUGGCCCGGCGUUGGGGAUCUGCCACGGCAGGCCCCUAAAACCAGUGGCGGACCCGAAGGGCCCUCUCCUUUGCGCAGUAGCAUUCGCCUCGCAUCGGGAGUCCUCGGCGUCCUGCCUCUAAACCCCCCACAAGCCCGCUUCGGCGGCACCAAGGUUGACCUCGGAUCAGGUAGGAAUACCCGCUGAACUUAA